UACGGAGGGGGCUAGCGUUGUUCGGAAUUACUGGGCGUAAAGCGCACGUAGGCGGACCAGAAAGUCAGAGGUGAAAUCCCAGGGCUCAACCUUGGAACUGCCUUUGAAACUGGGAAGCUAGAAUCUUGGAGAGGCGAGUGGAAUUCCGAGUGUAGAGGUGAAAUUCGUAGAUAUUCGGAGGAACACCAGUGGCGAAGGCGGCUCACUGGCACGAUACUGACGCUGAGGUGCGAAAGCGUGGGGAGCAAACAGG
rnacentral:rRNA from 1 species